rnacentral:lncRNA from 1 species
AAGUUUUUAACCUCUCUUUUUUUAUGCAUUUUUUUAUAAUUUAUUUUCAUGCUGGAGCAUUCUUACUUUUUAUGAAAAUUUUAUGCAUUUUUGAUAACAUUGUUUUGUGCAAAAUGAUAGCAAUAUAUAAUGAUUGUGAUCCUAUAUGGUUGUAAUAUUUUCUAACCCAUUUAUUGGUCAGUAUUUUGACCAUAAGACUACAAGUAGUGAUUGUUUAUUGUGAUUAUGAACUUUAUUUAUUUAUUUUAUACAACAUGUUGUAAAUUCAUUGAUUGUCAUAUUUCACAACACUUUCCUGAACCCUGUUAAAUUUAAAUAUUUUAGAUAAGUGAUUAAAAUCUGAACAUUUUCUUGACUUCAAAUGUCAGCAUUACUCAGAUACUAUUCAAAACUUGUAUAUAGAUAUAUUUAAGGUCAUCACUUUGACAUGUAUGAAGCAAUGACCUCAUUCUCAUGACCACUGCACUAUCUUUGGUUUAAAUUUAUAGAAUAUCCUCAAAAAUUUUAGAUUCAUGAUGUGAAUUUAGUAAUAAGAUCUUCGAAAAUUAAACUUUGUUUAAGAACCAUUUUAAAUUACCACUUACACAAGUAGCAUCAGACAUGGCUAGCAAUAAUUUAACAAAAAGCAAAAUUUCAAACAGAUUUACACUUAUUUGACUAUACUUGAAUUCAAGUAAUUCACUGUAGAUAAUAUAACAAAUUUAAAAUAGUUUAAUUAAUUAGACUUCUAUGACAUGUAUGAUGGUGUUUGCUACAAGAUUACAACACAAGGAAAUGCUUCUGAACGAUUUCAAUAUCUAUAAAAAAAAAAAUAACUAAACUUGUAUUUUGUAAAUGUAGUAGAGGAAUUGUGACAAUCAAUGAACAAUAUCUAUCUUUAUUGUAAUUUAUAUGUAUAACUAUCAUGUAUUCAUCAGUCAACAGGACUUGUGCCAUAGUAAUUAAAAUACCAAAAAAUAUAUACAUAUAGAAAACAAUUGUUAUGGGAAACAAACAUUUCAUUGAUGACAAACAGAUAUUUUAACUUUAAAGAUUUCAGCUUUUUAUGCCCAAUGGCAAAUGUGAAUUGGACUAUUAUCAUGAAUAUAUAUUAACCAUUUUCUUUUUAUAUGUGUAGCUGUACAUGUCAAGCCAGAUUGAGUUCAUUUGUUUUAAGUCUGUUUCUCAGGAACCAGUUUCAGAAAAAUCAGUGAUGUUUCACUAUAUAACAUGUAUAAUACAACAAUAUGUGAGCUGUGUUGGAUAAAAAUCGACCUUAUGCAAAUGAAUAUUAAUACAUCAUUAAACCUAUUUUGGGUUGAACAAAUCUCUAUGCAAAGUCUGUAAGUUUUUAUGGCCCCGCAACGAAAUUGUCGGUGCCAUAUAGUUUUACCCUUGUCCGAAAUUCCGUAAUUCCGAUAUUCCGAAAUUCCGUAAUUAUGUCAUUCUGAUAUUUCGCAACAAACCAUUAUACAGAGUUUUUUUUUAAACGCCAUCAGAUAUUAGGCUGAUUUUUUGGUAUGUGAGUUAACCAUGAUGAGUUACAGAUCAAGUUUAAGUUUCAUUCUGCUCCACUAAUUUUUGCCGAAAUUACAGACUUUGGACUUUUAGAAAUUGUUGAAAAUCACAGUUAUACCAACUUUUUUUCUAAUUGCCUUCAGAUAUUGGGCUGAUUUUUUAUCUGUGAGUUAACCAUGAUGAGUUACAGAUCAAGUAUAAGUUUUGUUCCGCUUUGCUAAUUUUUGCUGAAAUUACAGGCUUUGGACUUUGAUAAAUUAUUGAAAAUUAUAGUUAUACAGAUUUUUUUUUCUUUACACCUCCAGAUUUAGAGCUGAUUUUUGAUAUGUGAGACUACCAUCAUGUUUGUGGCCACAUGUGUUAUUGAAAUCGCAGAUUUUUCAACUUUUUGGGACGGGGGCCAUUCGUGUCGCUUUGACACAUCUAGUUGACAAUUGAGUUGUUAUAACAACCCUAAAAAAUAUCAAAACUUAUCUUUUAUUUCAACUUAUAAUGUUUCAAAGUCAAUCAAUUUUAUAUACAUUUACAUGUACAUAUAUGUGCACUUGCAUAAGGUCUAUUUCUAUAGAUGCAGCUCAGUCAUGUUGAACAGGAUUUAUUUCUUCAGUAACAUACAAAUUUUUAUAAAUGGUUCCAUUGUUAGAAACCAAUAAUUCUAUAUAAGCGAUACUUUAUAUUGCAUCUACUUUUUAACAUACAAUACAAACAGAAUGUUAUAUAGCUUUUCAAAUCACAUAUUAUCCUGAAAGCUGUGCUCCAGGGAAAUAAUUUGUUGAGGGUAUACUUGAAACACUUGUGUCACUCAAACGACUUUAAAGUAGUCUCCCUUAUCAAUUACCUAUAUUAAAGUCAAAGGAUAAUUAAAGUUGUAAAUCAGAGAUUUUUCUUACUUUUGAACAUUUUUCGUCACAACAACAGUUUUCUUUUCUAAACUAUCUUUAAAAGGAGAGGAGACGUCAAAAGUUUGCUUCAAACACAUGCGUCGCAAAGUAGUAAAUAAAUUCUGUAUGUGACAUUUAGCGGAAGCCAUUUAACCAUAUCAUUUUGUCAAACAAUUCAAUCAACACCUUUAUUAAUUAGUCCUUUGUUGUAGAUAGCUAUAAAAUGCAAUCAGCUGAUUAUUGAUUUUCUGUCCAAAUCUUAAUGAGGUCAAGGUGACUUCCGAGUAUUGUCUGAUCGGCUAAAGUCCGAGAAACUCGAAAAAAGUAGAUAAACAAGAUUGAGUAAAAUAAAUUGCUAUACUUAUUUCUUUCGCCAAAUUCUUUCGCAAAUGAGGAAUUUUUUUCGCCACAAUUAUUAUUUUUUCGCAAAUUGCAAAAAUGGCGACCGCCAGCGGAAACCCUGGUUGGCACAGUGGCUGAUAUUGGAAAGGCCAUAUCACAUACUCUUUAUUAUAUAGUUCAUUCUGUCGGGUUUUAAAAUAUAUGUGCAACCAUGACUGAAGUUAAUAUAAUGAUGGAUGGAUGAUACAGAGGGAUUGCCAUUGAUUUUAUUACACAUGAACAAAAUACUUGUUUCUUCGAUAUAACCUAUAUUUAAAACAAUUAGGUUCCUGUGACCUACAUUUUACACAUUCUUUUACUAUGUUGAAAAUUGCAUUUUUAACUUAAUUUCAGUAAAUGUUUCUAAGGUAAAAAGUUUUUUUUUUUUACUGUACAUUACCAAAUUGAUAUAAAUACGUCAGAAAGAAAGAAUUAUUGAUUUACAAAUAAUUCAUUACAAUUUAUUGAAGGUUUCUAGAUCUGUGUAAAUUAUAACAGGUAUAUAGAAAAGUGCUUUCCACCGAUAAAAUUGUAGGAUUUCAGGUUUCUUAAUUGUUAAUAAUGAAUGUAAAACAUGUAGGUACAAAUCACUAAAUAGAAUGAACCCUAUAUAAAAACAAAAUGUGGUCCCUGACUCCCUAAUCCCUAUACAUAUUUUGCAUAUUAGACAAUUUGAAUCUCAAACGAUAAUGGCAUUUUGUGAACAUAGAGAAAUAGACAUAUGUAUAACUUUACCAGUGGUUAAAGGGAGUGGGAUAAUUCCUUAAUGAGCUUAAUAACAUGUGUACAAAAUCCUGAUAUAAGAUUAUUUUAAACUCUUGAUAAAUAAUUUUUAGGAAUAGGAAGAGGUAACAACUGACAAAUCUUGUUUACCUUUCUUAUUCAAUCUUCUCUCAUCAAUCUAUCCUUUUUCAAUUUUCAUAGAAAACCAAAGAAGUUAAAACAUUUUUACAACAGGUGCUUGCUUUCUUUCAGAUCUCAUAUAUAUAUAUUUAUCUCACUUAAACCAUUGACAUUGUAUACAGUGUAUUAAGUUAUUUUUUCUUUGGUGCAAAAAUGAACCUAAUGUGUGUUUUAUUUCUCAUGUGUAAUAGAUUUUCUACAUUUUCAGUAAUCAUUGAUAUAAUUUUUAGUGAUAUAUUGUACAUACAUGUAUUUGAUGUAAUUGUAAAGAGAUAAAAAUGUACAU